rnacentral:rRNA from 1 species
GACGGGGGGGGCAAGUGUUCUUCGGAAUGACUGGGCGUAAAGGGCACGUAGGCGGUGAAUCGGGUUGAUCGUGAAAGUCGCCAAAAAGUGGCGGAAUGCUCUCGAAACCAAUUCACUUGAGUGAGACAGAGGAGAGUGGAAUUUCGUGUGUAGGGGUGAAAUCCGUAAAUAUACGAAGGAACGCCAAAAGCGAAGGCAGCUCUCUGGGUCCCUACAGACGCUGGGGUGCGAAAGCAUGGGGAGCGAACAGG